CCUCUUCUUCUCCUCUUCGCGACGGAAGCCAAACCCUAGCAAGCUCACCUCAGCACCACCGCCACCCGCCGUCGCCGAUCUCCUCCGCACCAUGGCGGCGCCGAAGCCCAUCUGGGUGCGCCAGGCCGAGGAGGCGAAGCUCAAGUCCGAGGCCGACACCACCGCCGCCGCCAAGGCCGCCUUCGACGCCACCUUCCGCGCCCUCUCCGCAUCCGCCCACGCCGACCAGCCGCCCCAGGACCCGGAGCCCUCCUCCUCCUCCCCCGCCCAGCCCUCCUCCUUCCCCGCCCUCCGCGCCGCCUCCGCCAACUCCGACACGGACUCCGACGACGACGACCGUCCCCGCGCCCCGCCGGGUCCCGUCGACCCCGCCAAGUCCUCCGCCGCCGGCCCCGGCAUCGCCGGCGGCUCCGCGGCCGCGCCGGCCACCUUCACCGUCGUCGGCAAGGACCGCGACGGGCGCCGGGUCACCUCCGGCGGCGCGAGCGUGCGCGUCCGCGUCCGCCCCGCGGACAACUCCGACAGCUCCGACCUCGAGGGCGCCGUCAGGGACAACGCCGACGGCUCCUACGCCGUCACCUACGUCGUCCCCAGGCGCGGCAACUACAUGGUCCACGUCGACCUCGACGGCGCGCCCAUCAUGGGCAGCCCCUUCCCCGUCUUCUUCAGCGCCGCCUCCACCACCACCGCGUCCCCGUACCCCACCGCCACCACAACCUUCCCCACUACCUCCUCCGCGUACCCCAACAUGGUCAACCAGACCAUGCCCAACAUGCCCAACUACGCGGGCUCCUUAACCUCCGGCCCCUUCCCCAGCAUGAUCGGCCUCUUCCCCGGCUCCUCCACAGGCUCGUCCGGCGGGGUCACCCUGCCUGGCGUCGGUGCCUCGCUGGGGGAGAUUUGUCGGGAGCACAUCAAUGGCAAGUGCACCAAGGGGACCGACUGCAGGUUCAGCCACCCACCGCAGCAGCUGCUCAUGUCAGUCAUGGCUGCCCAAACGUCUGUGAGCACGCUGGGCCACGCUCCCAUGGCGCCAUCCGCCGCGGCCAUGGCGGCCGCGCAGGCCAUCAUGGCUGCCCAGGCACUUCAGGCACAUGCUGCUAAGAUGCAAGCUGAUGCCAAGGCUGCAGCGCUGGCUCCAGGUCCGACGGAAGCUGAGAAAGCCGAGACUCUGAAGAGAACUGUUCAGAUUAGCAACCUGAGCCCACUGCUUACUGUGGAGCAUCUCAAGCAGAUGUUUGGGUAUGUCGGCAAAGUUGUUGACUGUACCAUUGCAGACUCGAAACAUACUGCUUAUGUGGAGUACACCAAACCGGAAGAAGCAACCGCAGCGUUGGCGCUCGGUAACGUGGAUGUUGGUGGUCGCCCGUUGAAUGUUGAGAUGGCUAAGUCUCUUCCUCAAAAGGCUACUUUGGCAAAUAGCAAUUUGCCUUUGAUGAUGCAGCAAGCUGUUCAGUUGCAACAGAUGCAGUUCCAGCAGGCACUGAUGAUGCAGACGGCAUUGGCAGCUCAGCAGACUGCUUCACGUGCAGCUACUAUGAAAAAUGCCACUGAAGCAGCAGCAGCACGGGCUGCUGAAAUAAGCAGGAAGCUGAAGGCAGAGGGCUUUGGUGGGGAAACUGUGGAAGAAAAGGAGGCCAAAGAGAAGUCAAGAUCGCUCUCACCCCCUUCUCGUAGGUCCAAAUCUCGGUCAAGAUCACCUAUCAAGUACCAUCGGAGUAGGCGGGAUCGCUCUUACUCUCCACCAGUUAGACGCUCCCGGGAGCACCGAUCACGAUCUCCAUCAAGAUCUCACCACUACUCAAAGUAUGGGAGUGACCGGUCAUAUAGGGACGAUAGGGACAAGUAUAGCAGGUCUGGGAGAAGAGAGAGUGAUCGAUCCCGUGAUCAUUAUUCAUCUAGUUCAAGGAGGAACAGAAGUAGAAGUAUAAGCCCGAGGUAUAAGAAGUCAUCGAGAGCUGAUUCUCGGUCACCGAAGCGGCAAAGGGAAGAAAGUUUAAGCCCAUCGAAAUCAAGAAGGUCAGGUCGUGCUGAUUCAAGGUCACCGAGGCGUCAUAAAGGAAGCAAAUCAUCACCAACACGUGACGAGCGUUCUUCUCGUCGUAGCAGGCAUUCAAGAUCCAGGUCACAAGAGAGAAAGCAUCGUAGCAGUGAUAAGAAGGACGUAAAAAAAUCUGAGACGCAGGAUGACAAAAAAAGAUCUAGCAGAUCUAGUAGAGGUGGAAAAGAUGAAAGGUCUGUAAAGGACCCAGUGGAAGAUAAGAAUGUGGAUACUUCUGUUGUUGCUCAUAAAAGGAGUUCAUCUGUAUCUGAAGAUGAAAUGCUGACCAGUGAUAAUGGUAAUCACAAGAAACCUAGGCAUGAUGCUGCCCUGGAGUAUGACAAGAGGAAGAAUGAGGACAGUAUUGAGGAUGGUGCUGGGAUGACUGGAGAUAAAAUUGACGUGGACAGAAAAUACAGAGAAGACGAAUCAAAACAUUCUUCUAAGGAUAAAAGCUCUCGUCAUUUGUCUUCACGGUCCCAUAGAAGCUCAAGACGUUCCGGGGAAAAACACCAUAGGGAUGGUACUGACCAGCAUGAAUUGAAGAGAUCAGAAGAGGGUGCUAGAGCUAGGAAAGACAGUAGUUCUCUUGAUGAUCCCUUUUCUUCGGAUAAAAGGAAAGUCCAUAAGGAGAGCUCUCCUGAUAGAAAGCUUAAUCAGUCGAAAGCUGGUUCAGAUUCUGAAGGCAUCAAUCAUGACACUGAAGUUAGGCUGCGGAAUGCUUUACUAGAAAAGGCAAAUCUGGUUAUCCAGGAGGACCUACAGUUUGCUGAUGAAACUGGUGCGUCGUCUACAGAUAAAUGCUCAGCAGAUGUUCCAUUGCCUGCAUCCGUGUCCAACAUUAAUGGGCAACAUGGACCUGAAGGAGAUGGUGCUUUAGGGGAGUCUGCCAUAUGAUGUUAAGCAGAGUGUUCACCUGAGUCUGCUCAACCAAUGGAUGCAUAGCGCUGAACUAGUGUUUGUUACCUCCUUUCUGAUUUAGGAGUUUUAUUUGCAGGAUAUGGAGAUCUCAGGAGAGCUUCAGUGUGGACCAGAGUGUUCGUCUGAUCUAUAAAAAAUGUAUUCCUCAUUAUACUUAAUUGAUGGAGAUUAACUCCUAAAUGUAACACUGGAGACUGUAAGGUUAUUUAGUACAGCGAGGUCAAAACCAACCAACCAUAUACUUGUCGUUGCAGGCUUGUGGAGAGUUGGAGCUGAUUCUGCGGUGAAGAUUGAAGGCAGUGCGCACUUAUCCAUACUCAAGGUCUGCUCGAGAAGCCAGUAACUGACUGGUGUGUGAGGCAAUUGUUGAGAAAGUCCAAGCAUUUUCUCGAGGGAUGUUCCCUUGAUAGUUCCAGAGAUAAGCAGCAUGCCUUCAGAUAUAUAGCAUUCCUUAUGUCUUCUUUUGGCUGUUUUUUUCCGAGGCACUGUCUCUGCAAAGAGCAAUUUUGCUACUCAGUUACUAUUUACAUGCUGUGAUGGGUGUUGUGAUUGGAAAAAUAUGUGCAGGUUUUAUGAAAGGUGAUUGCAGUUGGAGCAUGCUUUGAGGGGAUUGUGAGGCAUGCUAACUUUAGAAGCUGCUUUGUGUGUAGAAGAGGAGUCAGGACUAAUGUCAGGUGCUUGGUAGAUUGUAGUUUUGGUGUCACUGGACUGUCGAGUUCGAUUAGAGUAGACUAGACUAAACUAGAAGAUGACAAGUUGAGCAAAUUAAACACUACUGAUGAGUUAAUGUGUCUGUUUGGAUUUAUUGGAUCAAUACCUUGCAAUAUCAGUGGUGGGUUUCGUACUUAGGGUUCUUGAUAGAAACUUGUGUUCAUAUUUACGGCAGACAUGUGGACAUGCAUUCUUGGACAAGUCGUAGUGUGCUGGCAUGUCAGUUUCCUAGUUUUAUCUCCUUCAAGUAGCUGUCUUUUGCCUUUCUCCUCUUUCAUUCGCUUGUCUUCACUAGGAUGAUGACUUGACAAUUGACAUAGGCAACUUUGUCCCAGAUUGCUAUAAGUUCCUCCUAGCUGCUAGGUCAUCUUUUCGGUGUCACUGGUAGAUGAAGUUCGACUAGAGUAGCAGAUGGCAGGCUGAGUAAAUUAAAGACGAUUUACCUGGGAGACACUUGGUUAUAGAUGCAUCAGUAGUAACAGAUCUGGGUGACAUGUAUCACAGUUCACAGGCUAUAUAUCUGGCCUGCACCUACAUAUGGAUCAAUAUUUCCUGAGACGGCAGUGUAGCAAUGGUCUCUAGACUGUCACGUUGACAUCAGCUAAGGAUCAACAAGUAGGCACAUUUUUCAUAUAACUACCUCCCACUCCCUCCAUCCCAUAGUAUAUUGGUUAUAAUAACAUCUUAUAUUAUGGGACAGAGGGAAUUAUUUAGUUUGUCUCAGAUUGUGACAAGUGUUUGAUAGAUUGUAUUUUCAGUGUUACUGGUCGGUCAAGUUCGACUAGAGUAACAGGUGACAGGAUGUACAAAUUAAACAGUGUACCAGUAGUAACAUUCCGGUGAGAUGUAGGUGACCAGUACUAUUAAUGUGCAUCCCAUUGACAUCAGCCUAGAAUCAGCCGAUCGUACAUAUACUGUUAAAGGGUAGCAGGGCACAUUACAUAUAGCUAACGAAUUUGGACCUAGCGAAAAGGACUCUAAGCCUUCGCGCAAACAAGCAAAGUAGAAGCAAGACGAGGAAGCGGAGCUGUCGUAGAA